ensembl:lncRNA
CAACAACACAGGCGCAGUAACUCCUUCGUGGAGACUGCUUCCAUUUUCACAAUGUCCAGCUCCACGCUAGAGCUUCGGGGAAAGGGACCGAGGAAGUGACUGGUUCGCCAACUGAAACUACAAAUCCUAGAGCUGCAACUAUAUUUUAUAAAUGGCCCUCGUUUGGUUCCUGCAUAACAAAUAAUGUCUUCUCAUUGAUGGGGGCUGUUUCAUGCGCCUGCCUUUUUGGAGAAAGAAAACAACUUCUAGUCUCAGGCUUGUAUGAAUCCAGCACUGUUUUUCACAACUUGUUUUCGCCUCAGCGACUUGACAUGGCUCCCUAUCCAUCGCCGGUCCCCACGCUCCACGCCCUGGGACAGACAAGACUGGGAGCCUUGGUGAAAGGGAGGAGACCCUGUGUCCCCGGUUUUGCCAAGUCAGCCUGGCCCAUCCUCUGACAGCUAAAUCAACACUCUUUAUCCUGUGGCGACUGAUAACGCAUCCACCGCUUCCUGGUAAGAUCGUAACGCGGGAGGUCUUCCCUCUGAGUCGUCUCAAAGAUCUGCGAUUAGGGACAAUUAGGGACUGGUGUGCCUGCCUUUCCUCUCCUUUCAGCCAAGGAGGAAAUCCUGAUGGGACAUUAUCAGGGGCGAGACAUCAUCCGUCAGCCGCCGUCACAGGAACCCAGGGCUCAUCCAGACCCCACGCCAAUCUUUCCGCCUUUAUCUGCGCUCCCCAAAUGCCUCAGCCUGUUUGCUGAUAGAGGAAUCCGGCAUCUCCUCUUCUCAAGGACCCGAAAAAGAUUCUUCGAUAGCAAGAAACUAAGCGUGCCUUGCUCAGACCCCAAAGUGCCUUUCCAAAGAAUGGAUGGAAGAGGAACAGAUGCUGCCCUGAAGCUGCCCAUCGGACACGCAAAAGAAAAAGAGAAAACAGACAAGGUGACACCAAGAAGUCGGGAUGAGAAGGUGAAGAGACCCGGGAAAUCAAUGGCGACCUCGGCCAAGGCGAGGACGUGGAGUUCGGAAGGGGGGACGGGGGGGUCCUGAGGCUGCAUAGACGCGCUGCCCUCUGCUCUCCACCUGUGCCCUGCGACCCAUCAGAAGGCGGUCCUUAAGGGGUCAGAGUGCAUGCUGACCACCCCGAGCUGUGCUUUGGACUCAGACUUACAGACACAGUCCCUCCCCGCCGGCUGAAGGCCAAGGACCACCGCUGUGGAAGGCAGAGAAGUGACCUCAGGGAGGUGCAGUCUUGGGGAGCCCUGUCCCCUUGGGUGGGAGGGGCUGGUGAUGUGACCGAUGACACUGCCAUGAGCAGGGGACACUCUGUGGCUAAAGUCAAGAGGUUUUUUUGUUUUUUGGGAUAGAGUUGCUUUAUCAUGUUGUGUUAGUUUCAGGUGUACAGCAAAGUGAAUCAGUUCUACAUAUACUUAUAUCCAUUCUUUUUCAGAGUCUUUUCCCAAAGAGGUUAUGACAGAAUAUUCCAGAGAGGAGUUCUCACUGUGGUACAGGGGAUUAAGACUCUGACUGCAGCAACCCCGGUCACUGUGGGGGCACGGUUUCAAUGCCAGCCCAGCACACUGGGUUAAAGGAUCCAGCAUUGCCCAGCUUCAGCAUGGGUUACAGCUGUGGCUCGGAUUCAGUCACAGGAACUUCCAUAUGCCGGGAGUGUGGAUUUAUAAUGCUGUGCCGAUUUCGGCCAUGCAGCAUAGUGACCAGAAAAACAAUAUAUAAUAUUCUUUAUAUUUAUAUUAUAUAUUCUUUUUCUCAUACUGUUAUUUCACUUCAAUGAAAGUGAAAUAACAUAGAAUAUAUAUAGAUAGAAUAUAUACAUUCUUUUUCUCAUACUGUUAUUUCUCUUCAAUGCCCAAAACCCUUCUGGGACGUGAGCGUUUCUAACCCCGUUUUCCAUGAAGACGCAGAGCGUCUCGAGGGACUUUAAUUACUCCAGGUCCCAGGGGAGCUGAGAUUCAGAGGAUGACCUCCCCGAUCCUGGAAGCUCAUGUCUCUCCCCUCCAUCCGUCACUUCUCAGGCUCCCUCUAGGCCUGG